CGCCCCUAUCCUGUGCCCAUAAAAGACUUCAGCUGGCAGCGCAAUAGAAGCGGCUGAGCGGCGAGGAUACACGCAGCUGAGUGUCAGAGACAAUGGAUAGAUGCGGCUAACUUCAGACGGUGCGGCUUCAGAGAGGGACCUGGCCGGAGACUGCCGGGCUUCAGAGAAAGCUCACGUUCCCAUCUGCUUUCCAGCCUCCCUUUCCGCUGAGAGCCACCCACCGCUCAAUGAAGUCUUCCGCAUUCAUCACCUUUCAAACGGAAAUAAAACUUUAACCAAAAGAGCAUGGGCAGAUAUUUCCCGGAUCUGAACAGGAAUAGCUGGUGUCUGGACUCUAUGAAGAAUCUUCAUGUGCAGUGAUAGAAGAAUAAACACAUUUGCAGACUUUUGUAGUGCACAGUGACCGGUGACCAGCAGCAUGUGUUUCCAUAGGCAUCUUCUCUCAGUACCCCAGAAGGUGAAUUGCCAGUGAGUCCUGCCAGGAUGCCCCUCGGUGACUGCACCACCCAGUAAAAAGACAUCCCUUAACUAUGGCAAAACAACAACAACAACGACGACAAAAAACAAAACAAAACAAAACAAAACCCUGCAUCAAUUUGAUAAAUAAUCCUCCCCGUUGAUGUCACUGGUUUUUUUCUGCACAUCUUCUCACUGAUAUUUAAAUGCUGAGCUUACACUUUCCAUGGACAUGCUUAAUGACUAAACAAUAGUUGAAUUCUAAAUUAAUCAACUGACCAACCAGUAAGAAUUUAUUGAGCAACUCCUUUGAAGCCGUCUAUCUGUUAGGUGCUGUGGGAGCACAAAAGAAAUAGGACAUCAUCUCUGCCUCAGGGAAUUUAGUGUUUUGGGGAAAACCUGAGUGGUAUACACAAAGCAAUUGAGGAACAACCUAGGACCUUGUAGUCCAUUAGGAUUUCCAAAAAUAGAAAGAGAAUGGAAAGUCACCUGGCUAGGAGAAGCCAGUGGAAACUUGACACGAAGAAAAAAGAGCAGCUAAUUUCAUUCCUGUCCACCAGUUAUUUAUGUGUUUAUCUUUAAUUACAUUUGUUUGAUUUCCCUUAUUAAAGUCUGAUGUCUUAAAAAAGCAGAAAAGUGAGGCAGGUCAGCAGGGGAUGUAAGUUGGGAAGAAAGACAGGUGAGGGCAAGAAUUUAGGCAGGAGCCACAGUGUUGGUUGUGCAGGUGAAGGUCAGGUGACGGAGGGUAACCAGUCAUGGAUGACCCAGGCAGGAGCCAUAACCAAAAUGUUAGAAAAAGUUGGUAAGAAAUUGUUCCAGGCCAGGCGCAGUGGCUCAUGCUUGUAAUUCCAGCACUUUGGGAGGCCAAGGUAGGCGGAUCACUUGAGGUCAGGAGUUUGAAACCAGCCUGGCCAACAUGGAGAUACCCUGUCUCUACUAAAAAUACAAAAACUAUCUGGGCAUGGUGGCACGUGCCUGUAAUCCCAGCUACUCAGGAGGCUGAGGCAGGAGAAUCACUUCAACCCAGGAGACAGAGAUUGCAGUGAGCCGAGAUUGCGCCACUGCACUCCAGCCUGGGUGACAGAGUGAGACACCAUCUCAAAAAAAAAAAAAAAAAAAAGUUUUCCAGGAACAAGGGCAGAACUUAGCUACUGAGUUCUACCGAAGGCCAGGAUCUGAGUCAAGCACCAAGGUUAACUCCCAGGGAAGCCAAAUGUUCAUAAAAGGAAAUCUUUCCAAAUCACAAAUAUCAGGGCCUGCUAGGUAAAUUCUAGCUUCUCUGUGCCAAGGGCUGUGUUCCUACUCUCAAGCGCCACUCACUGACUGUCUGGGUGGUGCUGUGGGCUUCUGUACUUUUAGCUUCAUCAGCUGCACCUGUCCUCUUUUCCCAUAAGACGCCAGGACCCUCAGAAUCUUCCCUCUUACCAGAAAUUUGGGUUUUGGGCUGGGUCCCUGGACCGAAUUCUGACACUCUAAGUGUUUGCAGACUAUUUUGAUAGAGGUAGUGAUUAUGAUGCCAGAAAAGUGAAGCCAGUUUUUAUUAGAAUGUUGGCCAUCUUGAAUAAUCCAUUCCCCCACUUCCAUGGGACAUCUUCAAAGAGAUUUUUAAAAGACAAAUAUGAUCUCUACUAAUGAGAUAUCUUCAGAAGGUAGAAUUAAAGCAAAAUUAAUGUACACAGAAUUCCUAUUUCAAUAUAUUUAUUAUUCACAACAUUUCUACACACACACACACACACACACACACGCAUACACACACACACACACACAUUCCUGCACAGGUAAUUUAUAGUGGCUAAUCCACUCAGUACUGUGGACUUUGGUUUUAGAGAGCAUUGUUUUCAAGGGUAGUACAGAUAAUCUGCCUCCAACAUAUUCUAUUCUUAGGGCUCUAAAGUCAAAGGAGUUUGUACAGACCCCUCCCUGCUAAGGUAAUUAUGUCCUCUUCAUAUCUUGCAUGAAUGUUUGCUCUUAGAGUGAUGAUCUGAAAUAUCAACAUCCUGCAGGACCUAGUCUGGUCUGGAAGAAGAAGAGAUAUGUCAUCUCUAUGGGCUUUGAUCUUGGUAGGCAUAUUUAUUCACCAGGUACACAAAUGCAACUUUAAACCCUCAGCCACAUUUAGUAAACUAUUUCUUCAUCUGUUGCAGUCUUAUUCUGAUGGGAAAAAUUUCCUCUGUUUUUCAAGUUUAAUUUAUUAUUUUUUCAAAUUACAAGAGCAAUGCAUAUUAUUGUAACCAGAGAGAUAAUGCCAAGAUCGGUAGAGAAAAACUUAAUAAUCUCGACCUCCUAUAACCAUCUCUCUUCCCAUCCCCCUGAGGUAAUAGCAAAUGUUAACAGCCUGCUACCUCUGCACAUCUUCCUUCCUUCAUGAUUUCCCUACACACACACCCAUACACACACGUGCGCAUGCACACACACACCCACUCAAACACACGGUGUACGUCCAGGAGUCAGAAGUGGCUACAGAGAUGGAGUCUUCAUUAUUAAGGUGAGAAAAUGAUAAGACAAAUCACCCUUCUAUUUCUACCUCCAUGGAAAGCUAAAUCUUCCAUUUAUAUUUUUAUAGUCUUUUCAGCACUGUCUUAAUGGUCUUGAGAACAUAUUACCCUGAAAAUGUAAAAAUAGAGCCAAAGAGGUGAAAGCUCCUUGCGUGGCUUCUGACCAGGGAUGGCUGCUUCCAUGGGCUUUAGCUCUGCCAGUUCUCCCUAGACUGGGGCAGGUAGGCAGUGAGGAUUUCAGCAUAUAUUAAGUGCCAAAUAGAAACAAAUAUUUGUUUCUAUUAUUAGAGUAAAACAACAGAAGCCUGUAUUUUGACCAGAGGCCUGGAAUCUACUACUUUGUGAAUUAGCUAAGCAGCCCCAGUUGAACGUGAACCAGCCUGGAACAGAGUGGACUGCAGAGGCAAUAAACAAGGAUGUCGUGAAGACCCUGUUUCUUUCUAGCGUGGCAUCCCAGGAUAAAAUAUACAAUUAAUAGAUACUGGAAGGCACACUUUCUGAUUAUGGAGAAACCAUCAAAUUUGGCCAUGGUUUUGCAUAGGGGCUAGGUUGGAAAUUCAACUAGAACAAUUUAAUGUCUACUGGCAAAGCUUCUUAAUUAUGGAAUGAAAGCUACCUCAAAGUGCCUGGAGGCUUGAGCUGAAUGGUGAGAUCUUCAUUGACCUGACCUCCUCUGUGCUGAAGUUUGCUGACUUGAGGAGACCUCCCCUAAGAACAGACCCUCCCCUCAGGGCUGCCUUCAGCGAUGAUGAUUGACGCUGGCAAGUCAGUCAAGUGGGAAGUUUGCAGCACACACGGCUCAAAGGACUCACCCAGUUUGCCCUGUUGGAGGAUGUUAACCUUUGCACACUAUUUUUGACAUUUAAUUUUUCCUUCCAUUUAGUGCAUGACUCUUUUUUUGUCUUUCUAGUAAAUUCAUUUAGUUAGUAUUAUUCUUUGCCUAUUUUGUCUUUUAAACUUCUGGUUUUUAAUCUUUCGUAUUUUAUAUUAUUUAUUCUUGGUGUUCAUGCUUCUUAUUCUCUUUUCUGCUAUUUUAUCUUAUUGUUGUGAUAAUAGUAUAUUUGCAGUAAGCUCCUUUUACUAACUUCAUUUAUUUCUACAUAAUGUUUUAUCUGGCUUUGACCACAACUAUAUAAGGGGACAGCAAAGUGGAGCCACAAAUGGGAAGAUUGUGAAGAGGGCCCUUGACCAAAUAAAGAGGAAACCUUUUCCCUGAAGAGGACUUUUCAGCAACCCAACUAAUUCACUCAUUUUUCUCAAAGUUGAAUUUUCUUCCACAAAAACCCCUUGACUUUGUUAUUGAGUAGAUCCUCAGGCCUAGGAAAAUAAUGUCUACAUCGACCAAGGAGAUAUCUGAACUACCAGUACUUCCUGCAGCAUCUUUGUUUUGGUUGGCCUGGGCAGGUGGUGGGGCACGGGGGUGAAGGGAGGGGUCUGAGGUGGGUAGAAAACAAGGGUAUCCCCAGGGCUAUGGGAGGAAGGUCUAGUGGACUGGAACCAUUGUAUCUGUCGAUUAGUGGAGGCAAUCAUAUUUGUGAUCCUUGAGCUAAUGGUCUAGUAAGACUAUAAACUUGUUCAUAAUUAAAGCUGGCAAGAGGGUUCUUACCCCAGGUAAUGAGACAAGAGUGAACCACAGGAGGAAGCCAGCACAGAGACCGUAUGUAAUGAGUCCCUUCAUGGGAAAGGGAUGGAAAACAGUCCUCAGGCUAGCAGCAGAGGGAGUGCUGUCUGUUGUGGGUCUUGACCUGCUUAAGAGGUCUGACUUGAGGUGAGGCUGAAAGACAGCCCCGCUGGGGGCUUCAAGAUAACGAUGGACGGAUAGAGUUCUCUCACCGCUGAAUAUCUCCUAAGGCAUUAGUAAAACACUAUUUAAAUAUUUCCUCUGUAACUCAGUUGUGCUAUUAAAGCUCUGUUUCUCAAAGUAGGUCUGUAGAUGUUCUUGAGAGAGUGAGUGUUUCAUGAGAAUUUUCAAAUUUUCUGCUUUCGUUUUGAAGAUAAUCUUAAAGAAAUAAAAUCAAAAUGUUCUACUACAUUAUUUUUAGUGCUGAAGGCUGAGUUUGGUGCCAAAUGAAGAACAAAUAACAUCACGGCAUGCUAUGGAAAUGUCGAUUUUGCAUUAAGUUUGAAUAGAGAAAGAUGUGGGAAAAUUGAUCAAUUUUGUGGCCCAAAGGUAGUACAGACAUCAUUAGUUCAAAAUGUCUUCUGUCAUAGCAGUGGCAUAUCAUGUUGAGAAGUUAUUGUGAGACAUACCAACUUGAACUGUCAUUCAAUAGCAGGAAAGAAUACUGUUAUUUUUAUUCAAUAGUAUUUUUAAUGUUAAUCUUCAGUAUUUUUAUUAUUAUGUACUUAUUGUGGUGCACUAUUAAAUUUAUCAGCCCCUCAAACUAAUGGAUUAGUAGUUAAACAAGCUUAUUUACCAAAAACGAUUAAUCCUACGAUAACUUGAAGAAAGACUUAAGAUAUGCUUCCAGUAUUGUUCAAAGUCAAAAGAAUCAAGAGGACAGAAAGUGAAGCAUAAAACAUACAAAUAGUAGGUGUAUUAAACCCAACGCCAGCAAUUUAGUUCCAGCAAAAUAUCAUUUAUCACACUGAUGUUUUCUAUAUGAACUCUAGUGGCUUUUGUAUGUUUGCUUGUUUUUAAUUUGCAGCUUUGCUUGAGUUUUGAAGUAAUUUAAGAGCUAUAUGUAUGGGAAAUUUAUAUCUGUUCAUUUUGAAGUAACACAAUAAAAAUAAUGUAGAGCAACAGUAGGAUUUUAUGGGAGUUUUUUUUUAUCUUUUAAACAUUAUUCAAGCUUAAAAAAUCUAUGACAGAGAAUUAAUGGGAGGCUUUUAUGUCUACUCUUUCAGUCUCAGGCUAACUGGGCCAUAAC
rnacentral:lncRNA from 10 species